rnacentral:rRNA from 1 species
CAAGUCGAACGCGAAAGUUCCCUUCGGGGAGCAAGUAGAGUGGCGCACGGGUGAGUAACACGUAGGUAAUCUACCUUUGGAUGGGGAAUAACAACCGGAAACGGUUGCUAAUACCGCAUAAUGCAGCGGCACCUAAUGGUGACAGUUGUUAAAGCGGGGGAUCGAAAGACCUCGCGUCUGAAGAGGAGCCUGCGGCGGAUUAGCUAGUUGGUAAGGUAAUGGCUUACCAAGGCGAUGAUCCGUAACCGGCCUGAGAGGGCGGUCGGUCACACUGACACUGACAUACGGGUCAGACUCCUACGGGAGGCAGCAGUCGGGAAUUUUGGGCAAUGGGCGAAAGCCUGACCCAGCAACGCCGCGUGAAGGAUGAAAUCCCUCGGGAUGUAAACUUCGCAAGAACAGGAAGAAUAAGUAAGGGUUAAUAUCCCUUAUGAUGACGGUACUGUUUGUAAGCUCCGGCUAACUCCGUGCCAGCAGCCGCGGUAAUACGGGGGGAGCAAGCGUUGUUCGGAUUUACUGGGCGUAAAGGGCGCGUAGGCGGCCACCGCAAGUCGGUUGUGAAAUCUCUGGGCUUAACCCAGAAAGGUCAACCGAUACUGCGGGGCUAGAGUGCAGAAGGGGCAACUGGAAUUCUCGGUGUAGCGGUGAAAUGCGUAGAUAUCGAGAGGAACACCUGCGGCGAAGGCGGGUUGCUGGGCUGACACUGACGCUGAAGCGCGAAAGCUAGGGGAGCGAACGGGAUUAGAUACCCCGGUAGUCCUAGCCUUAAACGAUGAAUGCUUGGUGUCUGGGGUUUUAUAGUCCCCGGGUGCCGUCGCUAACGCUUUAAGCAUUCCGCCUGGGGAGUACGGUCGCAAGACUGAAACUCAAAGGAAUUGACG